UNUGACUUGAGUGCAGAAGGGGAGAGUGGAAUUCCAUGUGUAGCGGUGAAAUGCGUAGAUAUAUGGAGGANCACCAGUGGCGAAAGCGGCUCUCUGGUCUGUCACUGACGCUGAGGCUCGAAAGCGUGGGUAGCGAACAGGAUUAGAUACCCUGGUAGUCCACGCCGUAAACGAUGAGUGCUAGGUGUUAGGCCCUUUCCGGGGCUUAGUGCCGGAGCUAACGCAAUAAGCACUCCGCCUGGGGAGUACGACCGCAAGGUUGAAACUCAAAGGAAUUGACGGGGGCCCGCACAAGCGGUGGAGCAUGUGGUUUAAUUCGAAGCAACGCGAAGAACCUUACCAGGUCUUGACAUCCCGAUGCUAUUCUUAGAGAUAGGAAGUUACUUCGGUACAUCGGAGACAGGUGGUGCAUGGUUGUCGUCAGCUCGUGUCGUGAGAUGUUGGGUUAAGUCCCGCAACGAGCGCAACCCUUAUUGUUAGUUGCCAUCAUUAAGUUGGGCACUCUAGCGAGACUGCCGGUAAUAAACCGGAGGAAGGUGGGGAUGACGUCAAAUCAUCAUGCCCCUUAUGACCUGGGCUACACACGUGCUACAAUGGUCGGUACAACGAGUUGCGAGCCGGUGAUGGCAAGCUAAUCUCUGAAAGCCGAUCUCAGUUCGGAUUGGAGGUUGCAA
rnacentral:rRNA from 1 species